rnacentral:lncRNA from 1 species
GGCCUUACAAUACUGACACAAACUUCUUUACUCUAAGAGGACAUUGCUGCACAUUGCUAAACACAUUUCUCUAAAAGGUAAGUCCUCUGAGAACAGGGCUUAUGUCCUCCUUUGUGUUCUUAGAGUACCUUAUGGGCAAACUGAACCACUCUUGUCCUCCUGCAAGAAGAUGUUACUCACUGAUGGGCAUUUGGGUUGCUUCCAAGUCUUUGCUGUUGUGAAUAGUGCUGCAAUAAACAUACAUGUGCAUGUGUCUUUAUAGUAGCAUGAUUUAUAAUCCUUUGGGUAUAUACCCAGUAAUGGGAUUGCUGGGUCAAAUGGUAUUUCUGGUUCUAGAUCCUUGAGGAGUCGCCACACUGUCUUCUGCAAUGGUUAACUUAUUUACACUCCCACCAGCAGUGUAAAAGCGUUCCUAUUUCUCCACAUCCUCUCCAGCAUCUGUUGUUUCCUGACUUUUUAAUGAGCACCAUUCUAACUGGCAUGAGAUUGUGUCAAAUUGUGGUUUUGAUUUGCAUUUCUCUGAUGACCAGUGAUGUUGCGCUUUUUUUCAUGUUUAUUGGCCACAUAAAUGUCUUCUUUCGAGAAGUGUCUGUCCACAUUCUUUGCCCACUUUUUGAUGGGGUUGUUUUUUUCUUGUAAAUUUGUUUAAGUUCUUUGUAGAUUCUAGAUAUUAACCCUUGGUCAGAUGGAUAGAUUGCAAAACUUUUCUCCCAUUCUGCAGGUCGCCUGUUCACUCUGAUGAUGGUUUCUUUUGCUGUGCAGAAGCUCUUUAGUUUAAUUAGAUCCCACAUGUCAAUUUUGGCUUUUGUUGCCACUGCUUUGGUGUUUUAGUCAUGAAGUCCUUGCCUAUGCCUAUGUCCUGAAUGGUAUGGCCUAGGUUUUCUUCCAGGGUUUUUAUGGUUUUAGGUCUUACAUUAAGUCUUUAAUCCAUCUUGAGUCUUUAAUCCCUUCCUCAUUGCUUGUUUUUGUCAGGUUUGUCAAAGAUCAGAUGGUUGUAUAUCCCAGCCCGCGGGAUCGUCACUGCAGGCCCUGGAAGAGGGGGUGGGAAUUUGGGGAACAAGAGAUACGAGAAAUGGAGACAAGACAGUGCUCUGAACAAGAGAUACGAGAAAUGGAGACAAGACAGUGCUCUGAUCAAGUCUCUCUUUUAAUAAAUGGUAAUGCAGUGCCUUAUAUACACUUGGAGGGAAGGGGGUUUAGGCCAAGGCGAAAAUGAUCUCAUCAGCGGAGGGUCAAUGGCC